UACGUAGGUGGCAAGCGUUUGUCCGGAUUUAUUGGGUUUAAAGGGUGCGUAGGCGGUCCAUUAAGUCAGCAGUGAAAUACGGCAGCUUAACUGUCGAGGUGCUGUUGAUACUGGUGGACUUGAGUACUGAUGAGGUAGGCGGAAUGGACGGUGUAGCGGUGAAAUGCUUAGAGAUCGUCCAGAACACCGAUAGCGAAGGCAGCUUACUAAAGAGUAACUGACGCUGAGGCACGAAAGUGUGGGGAUCAAACAGG
rnacentral:rRNA from 1 species